GACGAACGCUGGCGGCGUGCUUAACACAUGCAAGUCGAACGGAAAGGCCCUGCUUUUGUGGGGUGCUCGAGUGGCGAACGGGUGAGUAACACGUGAGUAACCUGCCCUUGACUUUGGGAUAACUUCAGGAAACUGGGGCUAAUACCGGAUAGGAGCUCCUGCUGCAUGGUGGGGGUUGGAAAGUUUCGGCGGUUGGGGAUGGACUCGCGGCUUAUCAGCUUGUUGGUGGGGUAGUGGCUUACCAAGGCUUUGACGGGUAGCCGGCCUGAGAGGGUGACCGGCCACAUUGGGACUGGGAUACGGCCCAGACUCCUACGGGAGGCAGCAGUGGGGAAUAUUGCACAAUGGGCGGAAGCCUGAUGCAGCAACGCAGCGUGCGGGAUGACGGCCUUCGGGUUGUAAACCGCUUUCGCCUGUGACGAAGCGUGAGUGACGGUAAUGGGUAAAGAAGCACCGGCUAACUACGUG
rnacentral:rRNA from 1 species